rnacentral:lncRNA from 1 species
UUCGCUUGAGUCUUCAAUCACAUACGAGGGUCCAACAUCCACAAAAAUACUCCCGGAAGCACCAUCCCCAUUCCCACCGCCUCCGCCAAUAAAACUCUGCAUCACAUUCUGCCCAACUUGCUGCGCAGCUCCUUCAACAAAUCCCUGCAACACCGCAUUCAUCAAUCCACUUCCCAUGGACGAAUUCGCCCCCGACACCAUAUAGCCCUGCUGCUGCGG